GCGCCCGUAGCUCAGUCGGUAGAGCGGUGGAACGUUUAUCCACAGUGCCGGGUUCAAGUCCCGGCGGUCGCU